GCGUGAGUAGGUUAGCGGUUAGACUAGGACGUUGCCAACGUUCUGACCCGGGUUCGAUUCCCGGCUCGCGCA
rnacentral:tRNA from 1 species